GGGGAAUUUUGGACAAUGGGGGCAACCCUGAUCCAGCCAUGCCGCAUGAGUGAAGAAGGCCUUCGGGUUGUAUAGCUCUUUCGGACGGAAAGAAAACGGAUGGGUUAAUAUCCUGCGCGGAUGACGGUACCUUGACAAGAAGCACCGGCUAACUACGUGCCAGCAGCCGCGGUAAUACGUAGGGUGCGAGCGUUAAUCGGAAUUACUGGGCGUAAAGCGUGCGCAGGCGGUUGUGUAAGACAGGUGUGAAAUCCCCGGGCUUAACCUGGGAACUGCGCUUGUGACUGCACGGCUACAGUACGGCAGAGGGGGGUGGAAUUCCUGGUGUAGCAGUGAAAUGCGUAGAUAUCAGGAGGAACACCGACGGCGAAGGCAGCCCCCUGGGCCUGUACUGACGCUCAUGCACGAAAGCGUGGCGAGCAAACA
rnacentral:rRNA from 1 species